ACGGAGAACAAAUGUUGAGUGUGUGAGACACCCUUCUCACGCAAUCCACACUCUAACAGGACAGAAAUGGAUCUGAAACCCAAGGCGAGGACGACUAGAGAGAGAGAGGACGAUGGUGGUGGUGGUGGUGUGGUGGUGGUUGGUUGGAGGUGAGGGUGCAUCCGACACUGAUGUUUAAAUUCCUUGGAUCGAAUUACAGUUGGACAAUGAAAUUAAGAAAGUCAAAAUAUUAUCAAUAUAACAUUAUAACCUUGGCUUGGUGUGGUUGGCAAUAAAAAUGAAAUUUCUGAACUAACCUAGAAAGUAGCAUAGAGUAUGUGAAGGACGCAUGGUUAAUGCGUUGCAGAAUAGGACACGACAAGUAGUUCAAUUGGACAAAGAAACGAAUUCUUCUGAAUAAGCAGACAAUUUUUCCAUGAAGAAUGAUGACUAAUGAUAUGCAUGCGUGUUCGAUAUGCCACGAUUCGGAUGAAUAAGUCUACACCUCAUGAGAGUCAUUUAUAUAUUGCUCAUAAAUGGUUCAUAUGUUAGCAUCAUCCGCAUCAUCUUAAAUAUUUAUACGUUUAUUAUUGUAGAAUAUUUAUAGUAAUAUGAAAACAAAUUAUGGAUGCAUAAUAUUAUUAAUGAACAUAUUUAAGUAAAAUGAAUUAUAAUUGAUAUAAGUAAUUACGGUACAGGAAACAGGAACAUUUUCAUUUCUAUUUCGACUACAAAACUGAAUUCAUAGAAAACGCUAUCAUCUGGUCGCCAAAUUAACACAAGCUACAAUGUGAUACAAUGUUAAUACGAUUUUAAAUAAUCUGUAAUAAACUAAAUUCUACAAAACAAAUUAAAU